UUCUCUAAAAUUUAUUUACAGUUAAUAAAUUAAAAAGCAAAGUACAACCAGAUUAUAAAUCUUAAUCAUAUGCACAUCAAACUGUCCAAGGAAACAAUUCGGUUCCAUUACAAACAAUUGCCUUCAAAUGCACUUAAGACAUAACAGUCUAUCAAAAAAUAUUUCAAACACACCAAUAAAGUAAAUAUUAUGUAUAUAUGUCCACCAAAACCCACCAAUUUAAAGAGUGCUGUGGCAACCCUUAAAACAACAAAGUUUUGAAUUCAAAACCUCAUUUUUUUGUAUUCAAAUAUUUUUGAUGUUUUUUUAACUGAAUGAGUUUUCAGAAAAAUAGUAGUAUCAUUUGCAAGUAGCAAAUCAAUAGGUGUCAGCCACCAGCUUAGUUACACGUGUCCAACAGGGGACUCAAACUUUGACAAAAUAAAUACACACCACAACAGCAACACUUUGCACUAUCAACAACAAAGCUUACCCUCAACAAUCAUGACAUUACUGAUUUCAGCAUGGAAAAAUAAGUUGCUGGUUGACAGGAAGGAGGAUAAAAAUGACAUCAGGAAUCUCAAAAAGUUAGCUGAGGUGCCAGUCACCAUAUUUAGGCACUCAAGAGUUAAAAAUUAAAUAAAAGCAUAGUGAGGUGAUAAACUUCCUCCUAGCUUCCCUAUUUGUGCCAUACGAGAUAGAAGAUAAUCUUAUAAGAGAGUGAAUAAAGAUCAUGGGAUGUCUUUUAAAAAACUAUAUACAAGCUAAGCUACAGACUUACUUUAGAGGACAGGAAAUGGAUGCCUCACCAGAAAGGCCACCUUGCCAAGUUCCUUUCCACAUUCUGCCCAAUGUACCCAUGAAUACUUUCACUUUCCUAUUAACACACCAACCAUCUAUAUUAGUUGUUUCUUCACAUUUUAGAAGAUGUAACAUACGUUUGGCUAAAGAACACUUGGCAAAAAUAAAAGUUUUUUUUACAUCUCAUUUCACAAACUAGAAAUGGCAUGAUUUUUAAAUAAACCAGAUAAAUAAUAUAUUGAAUUCAAGAUGGGCAAUCCAACCCAAACUGAAAUCAGAUAGCCCAGACAAUCCAAAGAAGCAUUUAUGCUAGUUCAAGAGCACUAAAGUAACAAGGCAUGAGGAAAAAAUGUUAAGAAUCUCAGUUAAAAUGCAUGGUGUCAAUAGUUGUUUCAGUUUUGUGCUGAGCAAAGUUAUCCUCCCAGCUAGGUCUAAUUUCAAAAUCCUCUGUGAAAUUAUCUAGAUAAGCUAUAUGUUGAAAUCACAUUCUAAUAUGGCCAUUGAAUUUAUUAUAAAACUAUAUACAAUAGUGAGUGGUACAAAUACAUAUUUUUUUCCUCAGGGGCUAGUUUGCUAAAAAAAUGGUAACAAUUCAGUAGCAGGGGGAGGGAGGAGAAAACUCUACUGUAUCUGAAAUACGAUUGGCAAUGGAAGCUAAUAACCAAAAGAAUAUAUAUAAGCUUCCUUUCACAAAGAUAUAAUUUAACACUCUUCAUCAUCUAAGUAAUUAUCCACUUUUAUUUAUUCGUGUGACAGUGUCGGUAACAAUGCAUUUUCAUUGAGUAUGAAUAAAAGAAUACGAGGCAUACUGGGAAACUGGCAUAAAGUCAUAUUAUAUAUAUAAUUUUUUUUUCUUUACAAAACAAGUACACUGAAAUUAAAGUCACAAAACUCCUACUUAUGGACUAUUAAAGUUGAAAUUUUCAAUUCAGAAAGCAAUAGCAUUUGAAUUCUAAGAUCGCAAGAGUCAAAAUUGCAACUCUUAUUAAAAUAAUUCUCCUAAGAAGCUGCCAAGCAGAGAUAAGCCUUAAUAUUAAGGAUAUCGUAUGUCAAGUUCUAGCCAGUAUGAAUCAUUCCAUGGCAGAAUACUUAAAUUUGAAAAAUAGUGGUACAAAACACUACUUGACCCUUUAGAUAUUGCAGUAAAAUCUGGCUGUGGCACCACUGGCUAAAAACCAUUAAGUCUUGCUGCCACCAAUGACCAAAGGCACUUGGAUAAUCAAGAAUUCCACACUGGGCCAUAUGGUAUAAAUGCUAUUAUAAAAGUGUAAAAGAAGGGUCAGUACUGUGUGACUCGCCUGAUCAAUGAUUCCUGUGGUCUUCAGCUGUCAACAAAGACCAGUAACUACAAACAUAAUUACAAAUGGAAUUAAGAUUUUUUUAAAAGUUAACUCAUGGAGCAAAAGUCAACUAAUUGUCAUAAUGUUUAUAAGAAUAAUGGAUAUUAUUCUGGGCAUUUCUUGCUAUCCAACAACAGAAAGUAAAGAAAGAGAUCUAUUUUGCCCAAAGUAACUUCAACCAGUUAUUUGAUACCAAGAAAUGCCCCCACCCCUCUAGAUGACUAAUAGUUCUGAGAAUUCUAAUGGGUAUUCUGUUUAUCAUUUUAAUCACAAAGUUUGAACACAUUUAUUUCUUCUCUGCUAUUUGCAAUUUAAAAUAGGUUAUCCUUCAACUAUUCCUGGAUUUGUAUGUUAGACCAGUACAAUGAAGCCAAAUCAUUUCCAAUAGGAUUCCAUCCAUCUCUUUAACCAACACCAGUUCUUUGUAACUAAUUUUUCUUUAUCACAAGCCAUGUGGUUUCAAUGCACUUUAAUUUUUAUUUAAUUAAAAAGAAUCUUAACAAGUCAGCUUUUCCUAAACAGAACUUCAUAUGAGUUUAUACCAUUUUAUUUAGGAGCUCAGUAAAUAUAAACAUUAAAUUUCAAUAUAAAAUCUUUAGGAACACCUCAAAAAUGUUCAAACAGUUGUACUUUGCAUCUCUUUGUUUGUAAUCACUGAGCCCAUGGAAUUCAAAGCAUACAAAUCCUUGCACUAUUACAGUCAUAAGCUUGAAUCUCUUAGAAAAAUAUCCUUGGUCAGAGCUUUGGAAUCCGGUUAAAAUUAGGAAACGAAUGGGAUUCAGAAUACCCUGAGUACAAAACAGGUUCAAUCUUUCGUCCAGAAAGAGGGGUGGCAGUUGCAAAGAAAAAUGGGGUGGGGGGGGAGGAUUUGGGGGGAAAGCAAGUAGAUUCUGGCUUUAUUACACAAACACAAAACCAAAUUCCUUUGGAAAAAUAACGACUUCUUCAGAGAACUUCCAGACCAGUGAGGUAGAGUCCAAAGGGAGAAAACGGAUCUGCCCCUCCAGUCCUGGAGAUGUCUCAGUCCGGGGUAAGGAAGCAUAGGGCCCUCCCCUGCGGGUCCGGCUGUCUCCUCCUCCGCAGCCCGGGCGCCAGGAGGCAGCGGAGGGCACACCUGUCCCUGAGCCCCAGACGGCGGCGCCGCGAGGCCGGGAAAAGCAUCCGGUGACUUCUUUGCCCGUAAAGUGCACGAGGGGACGGGGUCCUGGCCGGAUCUGUAAACACUCGACUGACACUUGUCCAUCCCUCCAGGCGGAAGCCCCGUCCCUGGCCGGGAAGCCGUCGCGGGCUGCGUUUCACGCCCGGGGCACGGGGAAGCGGCGGAGCCUCACCACGGGUUCCAGGUUCACUCGCAGGACUUGGCUUGCCCGGCGCCGCGCCGCCGCCAGGCUGCGCUCGCCCCACACGUCGCCGCCGACGCGAAUGGUGGGAAAGGUGGUCAGCGUCGGGGUGGCCGCCCUCCAGAUCUCCUCCAGGGUGCGGCCCCCGAAGCAGGGCCCGGGCGCCGCGGGCUUGGCAGGGCAGCUCUCCUCGGGGGCCGGCAGCGGCGACAGCGGCGGCGGUGGCGGGGGCUUCCUCCGGCGGGCGGCGGGCGCCCGGGCUCCGCGGCGCCUCCUCCUGGCCGCCGCACUCGGUGCUGGCCUGCGUGUCCGGCCGCGGGCAGCGGGGGGUCCCGGGGGGUCGGGGACCAGGGCCCGGCAGGAGGAGUAGCCGUAGACGUCCUUGCUGCGCAGGAUAUGCGGGGAGAACUGGUGCUUAAGGCUGCAGAGGAAGCUCCAGAGCUCCGCGUCCGAGCUCAUGAACUCCGUGCUGCGGGGCAUGAACAGCUUGAAGGCGUCGCCCAGCGCCUUGGUGCUGUCGGCCAGCGACAGUUGAGACCGCGAGUAUACCACCUUCUCCUCCCGCGCCUCCAGCUCGGGCCCUGCUCCCGCCCUAAA
rnacentral:lncRNA from 1 species